GCAUUACCAUGUAAAUCCCAAUUAAUUCUCUACUCAGCAAUAUUCCUUUGAGGCCUGGUAUUAAUGACUUUAUAUUUCAACAUUUGGCAGAUGCUGCCUUGGAUAAACCCGCAAUAGACAGGCAAUGCACAUUAAUGUUUGAUGAAAUGUCCAUUAAAAAACACUUAAAUUUUAAUUUCUUUACUGGGGUCAUUGAAGGUUUUGAAGAUAUAGGUUCUGGCAAACGCACAAACAAUGUGGCUGAUAAAGCUUUAGUUUUUAUGUUACAGGGUUUGUUUUCUCCUUGGAAAAUUCCAAUUGCAUUUUAUUUUGCUCGAGAUGGGGUUAAAACAUUUGUUUUAAAAAAUAUUAUUAAAGAAAUAGUAUUAGCAGUUUUUAAAUCUGGAUUCAUAGUAAGAGCUACAAUCAGUGACCAAGGUUCUGCCAAUGUUGCUGCUAUUAAGUCAUUAAUAUCAGAUUCUAAUGCUGAACUCCUACGUAGUAACAAAUAUACCAAUGACAUCUGUUAUAAAAUCGGCCCAAACCAACUGUACCAUAUCUAUGAUGUACCUCAUUUAUUGAAAUGUUUUCGCAAUAAUUUUCAGAAAAAAAACCUACUCAUUGGCAACCAAAGGGCAAAGUGGGAGUAUAUUGAGAGACUUUAUAAAGUGGAUGGUUUUGGUGGCAGAGCAAGAAGCACCAAACUUACUGAGAAGCACAUAAAUCCAACUUCAUAUGACAAAAUGAAGGAUCUUUAGGUCAUCAGCAAACAUGAAAGGUGUGGAAUGAUGCAAGCAAUUGAUAAUGUCAUUUAUGAACAUAUUAAAAAUAACAGUCCCAAAUGGGAGCCCUGUGGGCACCCCAGAAGCAAUAUGAUGGAAAUUGGAACUAAAACCAUUAAGAACCACAUG